AGUCGAGCGGCAUCGAGUGAUCGCAGUUUACUGAGUUCAUGUCGGCGAGCGGCGGACGGGUGAGUAAAGUCUGGGAAUCUGGCCGAAGGAGGGGGAUAACUGCUGGAAACGGCAGCUAAUACCGCAUGAAGUCGCGAGACCAAAGUGGGGGACCUUCGGGCCUCACGCCUUCGGAUGAGCCCAGAUGAGAUUAGCUGGUAGGUAAGGUAAAGGCUUACCUAGGCGACGAUCUCUAGCGGGUCUGAGAGGAUAGCCCGCCACACUGGAACUGAGACACGGUCCAGACUCCUACGGGAGGCAGCAGUGGGGAAUAUUGCACAAUGGGCGAAAGCCUGAUGCAGCCAUGCCACGUGUGUGAAGAAGGCCUUCGGGUUGUAAAGCACUUUCAGCGAGGAGGAAGCGAUAAAUGCCANUACCA
rnacentral:rRNA from 1 species